rnacentral:rRNA from 1 species
ACGAACGCUGGCGGCAUGCCUAACACGUGCAAGUCGAACGAGACCUUCGGGUCUAGUGGCGCACGGGUGCGUAACGCGUGGGAAUCUGCCCUUGGGUUCGGAAUAACUCGCCGAAAGGCGUGCUAAUACCGGAUGAUGACGUAAGUCCAAAGAUUUAUCGCCCAAGGAUGAGCCCGCGUUGGAUUAGCUAGUUGGUGAGGUAAAGGCUCACCAAGGCGACGAUCCAUAGCUGGUCUGAGAGGAUGAUCAGCCACACUGGGACUGAGACACGGCCCAGACUCCUACGGGAGGCAGCAGUGGGGAAUAUUGGACAAUGGGCGAAAGCCUGAUCCAGCAAUGCCGCGUGAGUGAUGAAGGCCUUAGGGUUGUAAAGCUCUUUUACCCGGGAUGAUAAUGACCGUACCGGGAGAAUAAGCUCCGGCUAACUCCGUG